UACCAGCACCCCGAGUGGUCGGGACGAUUAUUGGGCCUAAAGCAUCCGUAGCCGGUCAUGCAAGUCUUCCGUUAAAUCCAGCCGCUCAACGGUUGGGCUGCGGAGGAUACUACGUGGCUAGGAGGCGGGAGAGGCAAGCGGUACUCAGUGGGUAGGGGUAAAAUCCUUUGAUCCAUUGAAGACCACCAGUGGCGAAGGCGGCUUGCCAGAACGCGCUCGACGGUGAGGGAUGAAAGCUGGGGGAGCAAAGCCGGA
rnacentral:rRNA from 1 species